UCUUGCAACGACGAAUGCCUUGGCUCGAGGAUCGUUGAAGGACGCAGCGAACUGUGUUACACAUCUCGAAUUGCAGAUUUCCGAGAAAGAUAAGGAUUCUGAACGCAUUCUGCGAGUUGCUUGCAACUCACGUAGCAGGCGGUGUCCGCAAUAUGCAGUCGUCCGAACUCCGAAGUUUGGAUGGUAUUCUCAUGUUGUCGCCAUUGGCGCCGACGUGAUCGUAGAAGUCAGCGUGCCUUCGUUUCGAGCACCAAUUGUGUUUUACGACCUCUUGUGUUUGAAUCGUUGGUUAGCAUCGAUUCGGGUAACCGAAUUACUUUUUGCGCACGUACACGACCUGUUACGGGAUUACCCGCUGAAUUUAAGCAUAUAAAUAAGUGGAGGAGUAAAAACUAACCAGGAUUCCCCCAGUAAUGGCGAAUGAACAGGGAAGAGCUCAAAUGCAUAACCGCAUUGCGGAAUGUGACCUCGUGUGCUCUCACCAGUUGCUUCCUCGUCGUUUGUUGUUUGGAAAAACACAUAACCACGGGUGAAAAUCCCAUCUGUCGGCCUACGGAAGCGGCGUACGGUGUGAGUUCCCAGAGUCGCGCACCCUGGGACGGGUGCGUAAAGUCGGUGGUAAGUUUCAUCGAAAGCUCAAUAUCUCCUCGAGUCCGAUAGCGAACAAGUACCAUGAGGGAAAGGUGAAAAGUACUUUGAAAAGAGAGUUAAACGUGCCUGAAAUCGUUGUGAAUCAAGCAAUUGGAAUCAACGUCGUUAAGGAAUUGGAGCGCAAUCUUGUUUCUCUGGAUCCCUUGAAGACAUCUGACACUGGUAGGUUAGUCGUUUAUACCGCCUUCUGCAAUCUCUCCGGAGUGAGCUUUUGGAAGUAACGACUUUUCUACUGGCGGUACACAUAUUAUUGGAUCGUUGUGGAUUUCUGAUUUCGUUAUUAGGUGCCGAACUUUCGUCCCUUUUGCGUUUGAUUACGGAAGCAGCUCGAAGUAGUAUGUGGUGUCAGAAUCGCAGGUUCCAAUUGACCCGUCUUGAAACACGGACCAAGGAGUUCAUACGCAUGUGCGAGUAUGUGACCUACAACGGUCAUAUGCGAAAUGAAAGUGAAAGGUAGAAUAUAAGCUCUACCGACCGACUACAUUCUUCGGCGUGAAGUUCGAGUAUGAGCGCAUGUGUUGGGACCCGAAAGAUGGUGAACUAUGCCUGAACAGGGUGAAGCCAGGGGAAACCCUGGUGGAGGCUCGUAGCGAUACUGACGUGCAAAUCGUUCGUCUAAUUUGGGUAUAGGGGCGAAAGACUAAUCGAACCAUCUAGUAGCUGGUUCCCUCCGAAGUUUCCCUCAGGAUAGCUGGCGUGUUAUGAAUAGUUUCACCAGGUAAAGCGAAUGAUUAGAGGUUCCGGGGAUGCUUCAUCCUCGGCCUAUUCUCAAACUUUCAAUGGGUGAGAUCCGCUGUUUGCAUUGUUCGAAUCAGUGGCUGCAAUGAUGCAUGCUCAGUGGGCCGUUUUUGGUAAGCAGAACUGGCGAUGAGGGAUGAACCUACCGUUGACAUAAGGUGCUAAAGUACUCGCUCAUCAGACACCACAAAGGGUGUUGGUUCAUUUUGACAGCAGGACGGUGGUCAUGGAAGUCGAAAUCCGCUAAGGAAUGUGUAACAACUCACCUGCCGAAUGGACUAGCCCCGAAAAUGGAUGGCGCUGCAGCGAGCGACCGAUAGUCAACCCGUCGUGGGAGAUUGUAUCCUCGACGGUGUAGGAGGGCGCAGAUGUUGUGACGCAUUUCGGGUUGUAAAACUCGAUGAAAUUGCAUCUGGUGCAGAUCUUGGUGGUAGUAGCAACUAUUCAACUGCGACUGUUGAAGACUGAAGUGGAGAAGGUUUCCAUGUGAACAGGAUUUGUACAUGGGUUAGCCGGCCCUAAGGGACUCCGGAGGACGGGUCGAGUGCUGCAUUGCAGCAAUGCCCGAAAGGUAAGGUGGUUAAUAUUCCUCCGCCCGACAGUGGAUAUUAUGUGGCAACACAAAAGAACUCGGGUUCGCGUGUGGGUACUCCGGGAAGUGUUUUCUUUUCUUCUCAACAAUCCUAGGCCCUGGAAUCAGCUUGUCAGGAGGUAGGGCUGUCAGAUUGGUGAAGUGCCUCGUCUUUUGAGCCACCUGGUGAGUCCUCACACGCCCAUGAAACCCCGGGGGAAAGUUUCAUUCGCACUCACGUCCGUAUCCAUAACCGCAUCAGGUCUCCAAGGUUAGCAGCCUCUGGUCUCUAGAAGAAGGUAGCUAAGGGAAGUCGGCAAAAUAGUUCCGUAACUUUGGGAAAAGGAAUGGCUCUGAGGGUUGGGUGCAGGGGUUCCUGAUCUGAACCACCAGCUGAGCAGGGGCUGCCGCCCGCUCUUCGGAGCGGAUGGCGGAACUUCGCGCGGCCAGUGCGGAGGGCCGGGAAUUGCUUCGGCAUUCUCUGCACGAUGAACAACCAUCUCAGAACUGGAGCGGACAAGGGGAAUCCGACUGUUUAAUUAAAACAAAGCAUUGCGAUACCCGCAAACGGUGUUGACGCAAUGUGAUUUCU
rnacentral:rRNA from 1 species